CCUACGGGUGGCAGCAGUCGAGAAUCAUUCACAAUGGGGGAAACCCUGAUGGUGCGACGCCGCGUGGGGGAAUGAAGGUCUUCGGAUUGUAAACCCCUGUCAUGUGGGAGCAAAUUAAAAAGAUAGUACCACAAGAGGAAGAGACGGCUAACUCUGUGCCAGCAGCCGCGGUAAUACAGAGGUCUCAAGCGUUGUUCGGAAUCACUGGGCGUAAGGCGUGCGUAGGCUGUUUCGUAAGUCGUGUGUGAAAGGCGCGGGCUCAACCCGCGGACGGCACAUGAUACUGCGAGACUAGAGUAAUGGAGGGGGAACCGGAAUUCUCGGUGUAGCAGUGAAAUGCGUAGAUAUCGAGAGGAACACUCGUGGCGAAGGCGGGUUCCUGGACAUUAACUGACGCUGAGGCACGAAGGCCAGGGGAGCGAAAGGGAUUAUAUACCCGAGUAGUC
rnacentral:rRNA from 1 species